AACGAACGCUGGCGGCAGGCUUAACACAUGCAAGUCGAACGGGUGUAGCAAUACAUCAGUGGCAGACGGGUGAGUAACACGUGGGAACCUUCCUAGGGGUACGGAACAACUCAGGGAAACUUGAGCUAAUACCGUAUACGUCCGUGAGGAGAAAGAUUUAUCGCCCUUAGACGGGCCCGCGUCGGAUUAGCUAGUUGGUGAGGUAAUGGCUCACCAAGGCGACGAUCCUUAGCUGGUCUGAGAGGAUGAUCAGCCACACUGGGACUGAGACACGGCCCAGACUCCUACGGGAGGCAGCAGUGGGGAAUAUUGGGCAAUGGGCGCAAGCCUGACCCAGCCAUGCCGCGUGAGUGACGACGGCCUUAAGGUUGUAAAGCUCUUUUGGCGGGGACGAUAAUGACGGUACCCGCAGAAUAAGCCCCGGCUAACUUCGUGCCAGCAGCCGCCGUAACAC
rnacentral:rRNA from 1 species